rnacentral:rRNA from 1 species
CUACGGGUCGCAGCAGUGAGGAAUAUUGCACAAUGGGGGGAACCCUGAUGCAGCAACGCCGCGUGGAGGAUGACGCAUUUCGGUGUGUAAACUCCUUUUAUAUGUCAAGAAAAUGACGGUAGCAUAUGAAUAAGCACCGGCUAACUCCGUGCCAGCAGCCGCGGUAAUACGGAGGGUGCAAGCGUUACUCGGAAUCACUGGGCGUAAAGGACGCGUAGGCGGGUUGGGAAGUCAGGUGUGAAAUCCUACAGCUUAACUGUAGAACUGCACUUGAAACUUCUAAUCUAGAGUAUGGGAGGGGGAGAUGGAAUUAGUGGUGUAGGGGUAAAAUCCGUAGAUAUCACUAGGAAUACCUAAAGCGAAGGCGAUCUCCUGGAACAUUACUGACGCUAAGGCGUGAAGGCGUGGGGAGCAAACAGGAUUAGAUACCCUCGUAGUC